AGAAAAAGAAAAAGAAAACACACACACACAGGGUUCAAAAAGAUGAAUAUCAAACUAGCAUAUAUUUUCCCAGCAUAGUUAGCCAGAAAGUGAUUCCUGAAGCAUGCAACAAAAAAAUGACUUGAGUGGAUAUUUAAGGGAACCAGAAACAGGAAGAAAUGGUAAGAUCUUUUGAGAAUGAAAUGGUAAUCAUUAAACACAAAUCUUAUCUGUAAAAACCAACAUUUCUGUAAGCUAACCUAAGGGUGUAAAUGAGCUGAGCUUUGAAGAGCUCAAACUCGGCUCAUUAAACUUUUAAUGGGCUUGAGCUUGGUUAGAGUUCAGAUUUGAGCCUUCAGCUUGGCACGUUCAUACUUUCCUCAAGCUUGUGCUUGGCUCGCAUUUAACCGGUUUAUCGAGCUUAUGAACUCAGCUUACAUUUAGCUCAUUUCUCAAGCUUGCGAGCUCAGCUUAUAUUUAGCUUGUAAGCUCAAGUUCCACUCAUUAAGCUUAAUUAGUCAAAUUACUAAAAAAAUUAUAAUUUUAUUAAUUAUUAUCUAAACAUUGUUUAACGAUGGAUUCAAUAAAUCAUAAUAAUGCCAUAAAGAAAAUUAGCUCUAUUUAAUUAUAUUUUCAAUUUUAUAACUAUAUUUCAAAUAAUUUAAGUAUAUUAUAAUUUUAAAUAAUAAUCAAUAAUAUAUUAUUUCAUAGAAUAGUCAUAAACAAAAAUAAUUUAUUAACAUUAUGAAAUACAAUAAUUAACAUAAAUGAUCCAUAUUUCAAUAUAAGGUGCUAAGCUAUAGAACUUGCAAACAGGCUAAUAAACAAGUCAAUUUAAUGAACUAAUUCAUGAGCUUAUUCAAUAAGCCGACUCAAGACCCAUUCAACAAGCCUACAAGUUAGCCGGCAUGCAAGCUUUAACAAGCCAAGUAGUAACGAGAUCGAACUUGGCUUGCUUAUUAAACAAGUCCAAAAAUUAGGCUUAAGCUCGACUCAUUAAGAAAAUGAAUUAGACCGAACUUUUAUCAACUGAAACUCGAGCAUCAUGCAAGCGUGUUUGGCUCAUUUACACCCCUAGCCUAAGCUUAUACAUAAGAUAUUAAUUAAAUGCAGUCACACUGUAACACAAUCAAAUUAUUAAAAAUUCCUAGUUUCAAAAACAAUAAUAAUUCCUCUUGAUCAAUACAUGAGAUCACACCAUAAUUAUUGCAAAGUUUACUAAAAACCAAGUUCACAUUGAUAGGAAGCUCAAGUUUGGCUGCUCCAGUGUGAAAAGAACAGGACAAUGACCUUGAGUACUUUUGCACAGAAGAAAAGCAUUAACUUUAUUUUUUAUUUUUGAAAAAACUGACAAAUUCCAAACUAAUCACUGCCUACACAUUGCCAUCAAAUCCAGUAAAGCUAUCAAUAAUUAUUAAAAAUGAAAUGCUAAAUAAUAAUUAAUACAUCAACCACAGAACAGAAAAAAAAAAAUCAAAUAUACUGAGGAGGAGAAAUAGCAAGAUGAUGAUCCUCAACUUCUUUGAAAUAAUUAUGCAGAAAGAAAAGAAAAAGUGGCAUAGAUGAUGACUUACACGGAAUCUGACGACCCCAGAGAGGAACAAGACCUUUGUACAACCCAAGAGCGCCUUCAGAUUUUACAAAUUUGGGAAGUCCAUCAGCCAGGCCUCUGGCAAAACCAGGCUGAGUUUGAACUCGUACCUUUACUGCCUCAAACGGGCAAAGAGCAACAUCUGCAAUCACCUCAGCAGAUGCAGAACCAGCAAGGUAAAUCAAGGUCUUGUACUUGGCUGCAUACUCUGGCCCAGCAAUGUCAGAGUAGUAUUUCUUGAAAAACUCAUAGAAUCCAAAUUUGCAGGCACCCUGAGCACUAUAACCAAGGAGGGUGGGCACCCAACCCCUAAAGAAGCCUCUCACACCCUGCUCCUUGAGCAGAACUCCAAAACCAGAUGAGAUGCUUUUGUACUUUGCAGGAUCAAUCUGCAUAUUACACUUGACAAGGUCAAGAGGAGUGACGGCCAUGUGAGUAAGUCCACAGCUAAGAAUACCUCCAAAAGUACAAGCAGUGUAGAAAGCCGGAGAGUACAUCUCGAUCUUCCCGGGCUCGUUGGGAGCGGGGAUCACGAAGCUGCCGGUCUUCAUCAUGAGUGACGGCGAAGGCGAAAGGGAAGGCUGGGUGGGGUUAGAUUGGAGGAGUUUGGAGAGGGCGAGGGUUUUGGCAGAGGAAGAGGAAGAGUAGAGGAAGUUAGGGAUUAAAGACUGACGAGAAGAAUCGGAGAAA
rnacentral:misc_RNA from 1 species